rnacentral:rRNA from 1 species
GGUGAACGCUGGCGGCGUGCUUGACACAUGCAAGUCGAACGGUAUGUGGCAACACAUAGAGUGGCGAACGGGUGAGUAACACGUGGGAACGUAUCUUUUGCAGGGGGAUAACUGACCGAAAGGACAGCUAAUACCGCAUAAGUCCGGGAGGAGAAAGGUGCAACAGCAUCGGCAGAAGAGCGGCCCGCGGUCCAUCAGCUAGUUGGUGAGGUAAGGGCUUACCAAGGCGACGACGGAUAGCCGGCGUGAGAGCGUGGCCCCCCACAAUGGAACUGAAACACGGUCCAUACACCUACGGGUGGCAGCAGUAGGGAAUAUUAGAAAUGGGCGAAAGCCUGAUCCAGCAAUGCCGCGUGAGUGAUGAAGGCCUUAGGGUCGUAAAGCUCUUUUACCAGGGAUGAUAAUGACAGUACCUGGAGAAUAAGCUCCGGCUAACUCCGUG